rnacentral:rRNA from 1 species
AACGAACGCUGGCGGCAUGCCUAACACAUGCAAGUCGAACGAGACCUUCGGGUCUAGUGGCGCACGGGUGCGUAACGCGUGGGAACCUGCCCUUAGGUUCGGAAUAACUCCCCGAAAGGGGUGCUAAUACCGGAUAAUGUCUUAGGACCAAAGAUUUAUCGCCUUUGGAUGGGCCCGCGUUGGAUUAGCUAGUUGGUAGGGUAAAAGCCUACCAAGGCGACGAUCCAUAGCUGGUCUGAGAGGAUGAUCAGCCACACUGGGACUGAGACACGGCCCAGACUCCUACGGAGAGGAGCAGUGGAGAAUAUAGGACGAGGGGCGAAAGCCUGAUCCAGCAAUGCCGCGUAAGUGAGGAAGGCCGUAGGGUUGUAAAGCUCUUUUACCCGGGAUGAUAGUGACGGUACCGGGAGAAUAAGCUCCGGCUAACUCCGUG